UCCGGUUGAUCCUGCCAGAGGCCGCUGCUAUCCGGCUGGGACUAAGCCAUGCUAGUCUAGGGGCUUGUACCCCUUCGGGGGUGCAAGCACCGGCGGACGGCUCAGUAACACGUGGACAACCUGCCCUCGGGUGGGGGAUAACCCCGGGAAACUGGGGCUAAUCCCCCAUAGGUGAUGGGUGCUGGAAUGCCCCAUCUCCGAAAGCGCUCAGCGCCCGAGGAUGGGUCUGCGGCGGAUUAGGUAGUUGGUGGGGUAACGGCCCACCAAGCCUAAGAUCCGUACGGGCUGUGGGAGCAGGAGCCCGGAGAUGGACCCUGAGACAAGGGUCCAGGCCCUACGGGGCGCAGCAGGCGCGAAACCUCCGCAAUGCGGGAAACCGCGACGGGGUUAGCCGGAGUGCCCGUGCAUUGCACGGGCUGUCGGGGUGCCUAAACAGCACCCCAUAGCAAGGGCCGGGCAAGGCCGGUGGCAGCCGCCGCGGUAAGACCGGCGGCCCGAGUGGCGGCCACUCUUAUUGGGCCUAAAGCGUCCGUAGCCGGCCCAGUAAGUCCCCCGGGAAAUCUGGUCGCUUAACGAUCAGACUUCCGGGGGAUACUGCUGGGCUAGGGACCGGGAGAGGC
rnacentral:rRNA from 1 species